rnacentral:rRNA from 1 species
AAGUCGAAGACCCGACUAUUGAAACCUAGUGAUAGUAAUGGGUUAGUACGGCGGGACGGUAGGAGUAACGACGUGGGUAACCGUGCCUUACACAGGGGGAGUAACACUUAGAAAUAGGUAGCUAAAACGCAUAAGCGCACAGCUUCGCAUGAAGCGGUGUGAAAACUCCGGUGGUGUAAGAUGGACCCGCGUCUGAUUAGCUUGUUGGCGGGGUAACGGCCCACCAAGGCGACGAUCAGUAGCCGGCCUGAGAGGGCGGACGGCCACAUUGGGACUGAGACACGGCCCAGACUCCUACGGGAGGCAGCAGUGGGGAGUAUUGCACAAUGGGGGAAACCCUGAUGCAGCGACGCCGCGUGAGUGAAGAAGUAAUUCGUUACGUAAAGCUCUAUCAGCAGGGAAGAAACACUGACCUUACGGUCAGCAGACGGUACCUGAGUAAGAAGCCCCGGCUAACUACGUG